UGAGUACGAGAUGCUACGGCAUCGAAGCAGUCUAUGUCAUACUUCCAAGAAAAGCUUGCAAUGUCAUAAACAAAUAAUGCCUGUACCAUAACCGACACAGGUGGGUAGGUAGAGUAUACUAAGGGGCGCGAGAUAACUCUCUCUAAGGAACUCGGCAAAAUGACUCCGUAACUUCGGGAGAAGGAGUGCCUUAUUUUUAUAAGGUUGCAAUAACAAGAUCCAAGCAACUGUUUACCAAAAACACAGGUCUCCGCUAAGUCGUAAGACGAUGUAUGGGGGCUGACGCCUGCCCAGUGCCAGAAGGUUAAAGAAGUUGGUUAGCAUUAGCGAAGCUGAUAACUGAAGCCCUGGUGAACGGCGGCCGUAACAAUAACGGUCCUAAGGUAGCGAAAUUCCUUGUCGGGUAAGUUCCGACCCGCACGAAAGGCGUAAUGAUUUGGAUACUGUCUCGGAGAGGGGCUCGGUGAAAUAGACUUGUCUGUGAAGAUGCGGACUACCUGCACCUGGACAGAAAGACCCUAUGAAGCUUUACUGUAACUUGAGAUUGAAAUUGGACUUUAUCUGCGCAGUAUAGGUGGGAGACGUUGAAAAUAUUCUUGCGGGAAUAUUGGAGUCAUCAGUGAGAUACCACUCUUAUAAUGUUAGAUUUCUAACUUUGUAUCAUUAUCUGGUCAAAGAACAGUUUCAGGCGGGCAGUUUGACUGGGGCGGUCGCCUCCCAAACGGUAACGGAGGCGCACAAAGGUUUCCUCUGAACGUGUAGAAAUCGUAUCUAGAGUGUAAAGGCAUAAGGAAGCUUGACUGUGAGACCUACAAGUCGAGCAGGGACGAAAGUCGGUCUUAGUGAUCUGACGGUGCUGAGUGGAAAGGCCGUCACUCAACGGAUAAAAGUUACUCUAAGGAUAACAGGCUGAUCUCCCCCAAGAGUUCACAUCGACGGGGAGGUUUGGCACCUCGAUGUCGGCUCAUCGCAUCCUGGGGCGGUAGUACGUCCCAAGGGUUGGGCUGUUCGCCCACGAAAGCGGUACGCGAGCUGGGUUCAGAACGUCGUGAGACAGUUCGGUCCAUAUCCGGUGUAGGCGUUAGAAUAUUGAGAGGAGCCUUCUUUAGUACGAGAGGACCGAGAAGGACAUACCUCUGGUGUACCAGUUAUCGUGCCAACGGUAAACGCUGGGUAGCCAUGUAUGGAGAGGAUAACCGCUG
rnacentral:rRNA from 1 species